CCUUGUAUUGUUGUUCUGAGUUUUUACAAAUGCUCUUUCUUCAAAAUUAAAAAUUGUGUCUGAGUGACAACCCAUAUAAAUAAAGGCUAUGAAAAUGAUAUUACUAAAUUACAAAGGGACUAGAUGGCAGGUCUAGAUUUUAUUUAAGGGUAAAAAUGUGCAAGAUACAAAAUGCCACACUUUUCAGAUUUUUAUUUGUAACAAUGUUUGAAAACCAUGUCUCAGUAUUCUUCCAAUUCACAACUAUGCUCUACUUUGAGCUGGUCUAUCACAUAAAACCCCAAUAAAAUGCAUUGAACCUUAUGGCUGUAAGAUAGCAACAUGUGGAAAUGGUCAAGGUCUGGAAAUCCUUUUUCCAAGGCACUGUAUACAAAUAGGUACAUUUCACCUAUAAUGGUUUUGGGGAACCAACCACCUCUUAUUCUUGCAAAUAACUAGUCUGGUUAUUUAGCAGUUGUUGAUAUAGUCUGAAUUAUACAAACCAUGGAUUUAGAAAUGAGGUGCAUUUGAAAAUUAGGUGAAUCUUGCUUCUCACUUAAAAAUAAAUGGGUGAUAAUGAAAUUAUAUCACACCACCAACAAGUAUGUUUUCCUCCUCCCAGUAAAGGCCAACAGAUUGCUUGUUUGUUUGUUUUUAUAUUGUUUACUCCUCUUAAUUAGGAAUAAUGUGCAGGCUGAUUUUCAGACAAAGUAAUGUGAAACAUACCAUAACUUUCCGAACAUAUUUUUUAUUUAUUUUUUUUGCACCUCACUUCAGAAGGCCUUAUAAAGCUGUAGAUGUAGUCAAAGCAAACUUUAAUCCAUCUUGAAAUAUUAAUACCUGAGGAGCCUAUGGUCUUGCUAGGAUGUUAUUACAUAUAUGGCAGUUGCUCUUAGAUGAGAAUGCCCAAAGAGUUUAUAUUACAAUUAUUAAUCUUAUUUUGUUUAAUUUAGAAAUUCAAAAAUGUUAGUAUUAAUCCAUAAUAAACCUUAACAUUCAAUAUCAGUUGUUAUCUCCGUCAGGUUUGGAAUGUAAAUGUUGUGUUUUAUCCAAUGUAGAGGUUCAGUUGUUUAAUAUUUGUGGUUAAAUUGAUAAAUUGGUGUAUGACUCUUUUAUGCCCAAAUGAAAAGAUUGUCAUAGAUAGCUAGUCUGCAUGGUUACCCUAAGUCUGCAAUUCUGCCUGACUAGUCCAUUGACCCUACCUGCUGACCAGACACCUCUGGUCAAAACGUUCUUCCAUAAAACCAGGAAAUUUGUUUAUAGUAUCAUUUCCCUAAGUUUAAUUUUGUCAAACGAUCAGUUCGUGAACAUCAAAUGUUUUGUAUAUUUGGUGUACAUUUUGUUUGAAAUUGUCGUAAGUUUUCCAAACAGUGCAAAGGCAUGUUCAGCAUAACCCAGCAGGUUAUGUUAAGUUGCAGAAACCUUUGCAGCACCGUUCCAUCAUAAUCCAGGGUGGGGACUACCCAAAGAUCCACAUCAAGUGCCAGAGGUGAUGGGCUGGCACCACCUGCCAGCUCCGGAGCGAGCCUCAGACCAAUGAACAGCUGUUGAGAGAAGACCACCAUCAUCAAGGACCCGGACCGGUUCUUGAAAAAGCACCAAGUCUGACCUUAGGUAAGAACCUCUUUCAUUUCCGCUACGGCUGCUGGAUGGGGAUGGCAAAGUUGACUGAGCACACCGGCGGUUCUGACUUUAACUGGACCUCUGCUUUUCGCUCCUCGUUCUUAGAUUAAUGUUAGGUACAUUUCUUUGAACUGUCCAUAAGCCCCUGAUAAUUCUUAGGUUUAAGUAUUAUUAUUUGUGUUUUUUGCACAGAUUUUGUUUAUAAUAAUAAUGAGUCAUUUGUUAGAAGCACUUUCAAUUUGGUGUUAGUUGUGCUUGUAUUGUGUUGUUUUAGUCUAUCAACAAUGAGGGCGCAUUUGGUGACUGACAACACAAUCAAAUUUGGAUUUCAAUUCUUUACAAAGACUUCCAAGUUUUUCUUUUGAGUAUAAAAUGUCAAUUUUUGUUUUGAUUUUUAUCAGUUUGGUUUAACAAGGACUAUAGAGAGUUCUUCCCGUUAUUUCAUUUUAGUCCAGUAUUCAUGGCUCCCUGAAAAGGAUUUUUCUUAGAGGUUAUAAGGAUGAUUGGUUUAUGAUCAGCAAUAUAAUCCAAUCUAGUUUUAUCCUACACACUAAAUUAUGUUUUUAACUAUUUUAAAAGGGUUGCCUGUAGCCACCUUAGUCCCCCAACUUUCCAUGUUUUUAUUCACUGGGUUCCAGCCUCCCUCUCUGAGAAAGAAAGAAAGAAGCUCCAUUCUGUGUCUGAACUGAAUCAAUAUUCCAUUACUGUGUUUCACUGGGAAUUGGCUUAUAGGAAAGAAAGAGCAAUAACACAAUAUAUUAUAGUAACAGCGAUCCAUGGAUGUGUCAUUGUGCUUCCCUCCUAAAAGGGGAAGUUGGGGUGGAGUUGUUUGUAAUGAGAACUAAUUUUGAAUUCAUAGGACAUGAAAGACUUAAAAAAAAAAAAAAAAAAAAAGAAAAUAAACUGAUGAUGAUUGAACACAAAUUGGAGGAAACCGAUCUCUGCUUGACAGAGAGAGAGAGAGAGAGAGAGAGAGAGAGAGAGAGGAGAUCAGACAAGGCGAUGAAAGAAAGAUCCAUGCAACACAUCUUGAUGUUUUUUUUGUGUGCGUUUCGUUUUUAAUUGGAACCAGCUUCACCGAUAGACAUGCAAUAUCACUGUACAAGCCAAAACCACAAAUAA